UUGAACGCUGGCGGCAUGCUUUACACAUGCAAGUCGAACGGUAACAGGGAGCUUGCUCCGCUGACGAGUGGCGAACGGGUGAGUAAUGCAUCGGAACGUGCCUAUUUGUGGGGGAUAACGUAGCGAAAGUUACGCUAAUACCGCAUACGCCCUGAGGGGGAAAGCGGGGGACCGUAAGGCCUCGCGCGAUUGGAGCGGCCGAUGUUCGAUUAGCUAGUUGGUGGGGUAAAGGCCUACCAAGGCGACGAUCGAUAGCUGGUCUGAGAGGACGACCAGCCACACUGGAACUGAGACACGGUCCAGACUCCUACGGGAGGCAGCAGUGGGGAAUUUUGGACAAUGGGCGAAAGCCUGAUCCAGCCAUGCCGCGUGCAGGAUGAAGGCCUUCGGGUUGUAAACUGCUUUUGUACGGAACGAAAAAGUCUUCUCUAAUACAGGGGGCGAAUGACGGUACCGUAAGAAUAAGCACCGGCUAACUACGU
rnacentral:rRNA from 1 species